CGGGGCGUAGCUCAGCCUGGUAGAGCGCCUGCUUUGGGAGCAGGGGGUCGCAUGUUCGAAUGUCGCCCCGACCA
rnacentral:tRNA from 1 species